AAAGAUUAAGCCAUGCAUGUCUAAGUAUAAGCACUUUAUACUGUGAAACUGCGAAUGGCUCAUUAAAUCAGUUAUAGUUUAUUUGAUAAUACCUUACUACUUGGAUAACCGUGGUAAUUCUAGUGCUAAUACAUGCUUUAAGCCCCGACUUCUGGAAGGGGUGUAUUUAUUAGAUAAAAAACCAAUCGUAGCAAUACGUUUUCUGGUGAAUCAUGAUAACUAUUCGAAUCGCACGGCUUCGCUGGCGAUGGUUCAUUCAAAUUUCUGCCCUAUCACCUUUCGAUGGUAGUAUAGAGGACUACCAUGGGUAUAACGGGUAACGGAGAAUUAGGGUUCGAUUCCGGAGAGGGAGCAUGAGAAACGGCUACCACAUCCAAGGAAGGCAGCAGGCGCGCAAAUUACCCAAUCCCGAUACGGGGAGGUAGUGACAAUAAAUAACAAUACAGAGCACUACGUGUUUUGUAAUUGUAAUGAGUACAAUUUAAACCUCUUAACGAGAACCAAUUGGAGGGCAAGUCUGGUGUGUCGAUCUCUUUUUAGAGAUUUGCUGACGCGGCCAGCAGCCGCGGUAAUUCCAGCUCCAAUAGCGUAUAUUAAAGUUGUUGCAGUUAAAAAGCUCGUAGUUGAAUUUUGGAUCAGACUGGGCGGUCUUUGCAUUGCAUUGUACUUUUCGGUCUGAUCUUUCCUUCUGGGGAUCUACUUUGCUAUUCAUUUAGUGGAGUAGGGAACCAGGACUUUUACUUUGAAAAAAUUAGAGUGUUUAAAGCAGGCUUACGCUUGAAUACAUUAGCAUGGAAUAAUAAAAUAGGACUUUGGUUUUAUUUUGUUGGUUUUCGAAACCGAAGUAAUGAUUAAUAGGGAUAGUUGGGGACAUUCGUAUUUAGCCGUCAGAGGUGAAAUUCUUGGAUUGGCUAAAGACGAACUUCUGCGAAAGCAUUUGUCAAGGAUGUUUUCAUUAAUCAAGAACGAAAGUUAGGGGAUCGAAGACGAUCAGAUACCGUCGUAGUCUUAACCAUAAACUAUGCCGACUAGCGAUUGGCCAAUGUUCAUUUAUGACUUGGUCAGCAGCUUAUGAGAAAUCAAAGUUUUAGG
rnacentral:rRNA from 1 species